AGUACUACAACAUGAUUCUAAUAUUCUCUUUGGUUCAGAGAUUUCACUCUUUUCCCACCCAAGUAAUGAAUUAACGGGUAAGAACAGUCAUAUUUCAUAAUAAUAAAACAUAAUUUAUAACACAUUUCUGGGACAGAAGAGUAAAGGAGAAAGUACUUUGGCCACAAAAGACAACUCUUCAAAUACCAUUAUUUUAAUUGCUUCACAGCAUUAAUUGAAUUUUCAUCUACUCACUCUAUACCUCCAUUAUUGAUAUAUUGCUUUUGAAGGUAUGUUAAACCACAAUGCUUAUUUGAAGAGAAUUUCAAUCUGUUUGUCUUGAAAUAGAGUCCAAAUCUUUUUAUUGAAGAGUACCAUUUGUAAGCUCAGGUGAUGAUAGCUAACUUUUUCCUGUGUUCAAAUAUCAACUCAAUCUUGCCAUUUACAGGUCUUGGCCAUGAGAAAGAGAAAACUCAGAAGACAGCACAUAUGCUCAGGCAGUUGACAGCACUCCUCUGACCUUCCUUGGCUAACAGAACUUCAGGGGUGUUCCUUAGAGAAAGCGAGUUGGGUCUCUGCUGUUUGUGAUUCCUGCCAGCCCGUGGGAAGAGCACUCCCGAUGACUUAGAUAACCAAGAGGGAGCAGCAGAUCAUUUCUCCAGAUUUCAUCCCUCUGGCUCCUUUAUCUGAACCCUUCUGUCCUGUGAAGAGCCCAGCAUGCAGCGUCCAGCACACAUCCCUGUCCACAACCCCAUAGUGUAUGUCCUGCCAAAGGGGGGCUGAGCAACCCAGCAGUACCCAGGUACAUAGCCAGUGUCUGCCCAGGUCCCACCAAGGCUCAGGCACUGUACUGAGUGCUGGGAGAGAUGCAGAAGAUGUCACAGCAGGAGUAUAUGAGGGCUGGCAAAGAAACCAAUGCAUGCUUCCAAACCCCCAUAGACUGUUCCUUCCAUCAGCUGUUAUGUGUAAAGAGCAUGGUUCCUUUAACAGAUGGAGUUUGCAAUUUAAGUUCCAAUGUCCAGGUAUACAAGGAGCUGCUAGGCAAAGAGGGGGAAGGGAUGAACAUUUAUUGAGGACCUGUUACAAGCCAAGCAUGUGUUAAUGCACAGUUCCCACAGCAACCCUGCAUGGUGACGUCACUAAAGAUGAGGAACCAGAGGCUCAGGGAGGGGAAGGACAGCCAGCUGGUGGUCACACUGGAACUGAAACCCUGCACUUCCAGAAGCAUGUUCCAAAGAAGACUACUUCUGCAGAGUAUCAAUAGGGGUUCUGUAGAAGGAAAAACAAGUCAUCCCAAGGCUAGGAUAUAACCAUGGGAGUGGGUGGCGGAACAGGGCUGGAGCACAUCGUCACUGGAAGGUAAGGUGUUGAGGAACUCGGAGACCAGGUUUGGGAACUGUGAGGCAAACAGGGCAGGAUGCAGGACGCGGCGGGACGCGCUCAGCAGAGGCCACGGCGGCGGGGGUCGUGGCGAUGGAGCCGGG